UAGUUUGAAGGGCCGCCAUGGAGUCAC
rnacentral:sRNA from 1 species